GAUGAACGCUGGCGGCGUGCCUAAUACAUGCAAGUCGAGCGAACAGACGAGGAGCUUACUCCUCUGACGUUAGCGGCGGACGGGUGAGUAACACGUGGAUAACCUACCUAUAAGACUGGGAUAACUUCGGGAAACCGGAGCUAAUACCGGAUAACAUGUUGAACCGCAUGGUUCAACAGUGAAAGACGGUCUUGCUGUCACUUAUAGAUGGAUCCGCGUCGCAUUAGCUAGUUGGUAAGGUAACGGCUUACCAAGGCAACGAUGCGUAGCCGACCUGAGAGGGUGACCGGCCACACUGGAACUGGGACACGGUCCAGACUCCUACGGGAGGCAGCAGUAGGGAAUCUUCCGCAAUGGGCGAAAGCCUGACGGAGCAACGCCGCGUGAGUGAAGAAGGUCUUCGGAUCUUAAAACUCUGUUAUUAGGGAAGAACAAAUGUGUAAGUAACUAUGCACGUCUUGACGGUACCUAAUCAGAAAGCCACGGCUAACUACGUG
rnacentral:rRNA from 1 species